CAGCAGCACUGUCCAAAUGUUGCACAUGGUUAUGAGUUGGGCAUACCGAAGUUUUAUAUUUCAGGGCCUCUGAAAUCAAGGACUUCUGAAUGAGACACCAGUCUCUUUCAUAUAUGACACUAAAAUGUCAAAGCAAUAUUAUUCCUUUAAAAAAGGGGUAGGGAGUGGACUGGAAGAUGAUACAUUCAUGACAUUAUGGGACUUUCUAGAGUCCUGGAUUAUUCAAAAUGAUUGGGGGGCGAUUUUCUUUAUAAUUUUACUAGGAAUUAUUUUUGAGAUAAUACUCAUGAAAGCUUGUGCAUCCUUUCGGAAGAAGCCCACACUUCCUGAAAAGGGUAGUUCAGAUGUCCAGGAACGGAAGACAGUUGCCCCAAAAGCAGGAAAUUUCCCCAGAGAAUUGGUCAGUUAUUAAUUCAUCUUCAGGAGAAAGG
rnacentral:lncRNA from 1 species